GUUCUAGUAGCACCUUAAAGACCAACUAAGUAUAAGCUUUCUAGGUAUGAGCUUUCGUGUGUAUACUUAGUUGGUCUUUAAGAUGCUACUGAAAC